GAGUUUGAUUAUGGCUCAGGAUGAACGCUAGCUACAGGCUUAACACAUGCAAGUCGAGGGGCAUCAUGGUAUUAGCUUGCUAAUACUGAUGGCGACCGGCGCACGGGUGAGUAACACGUAUCCAACCUGGCUUUCACUCAGGGAUAGCCCAUCGAAAGAUGGAUUAAUACUUGAUGGUAUAUACAUUUCGCAUGUUUUGUAUAUUAAAGAUUUAUCGGUGAUAGAUGGGGAUGCGUACCAUUAGUUUGUUGGCGGGGUAACGGCCCACCAAGACUUCGAUGGUUAGGGGUUCUGAGAGGAAGGUCCCCCACAUUGGAACUGAGACACGGUCCAAACUCCUACGGGAGGCAGCAGUGAGGAAUAUUGGUCAAUGGACGUAAGUCUGAACCAGCCAAGUAGCGUGAAGGAUGACUGCCCUCUGGGUUGUAAACUUCUUUUAUAUGUGAAUAAAUUUUCCUACGUGUAGG
rnacentral:rRNA from 1 species